AUUGCGCAUGCGGGAAACCCACGCUGAGGGAAGAAUCAUGGGAAAGAGUAGAGACGGGGUUCCACCGUGUUAGCCAGGAUGGUCUCGAUCUCCUGACCUCGUCAUCCUCCCGCCUUGGCCUCCCAAAGUGCUGGGAUUACAGGCUUGAGCCACCGCGCCCCGCUCUUUCGUGUUCCAAAGGCUUUUUAAAUAAACUUCCACUCCUGUCCUGGAUUCUGCUUUAUGGCCCUCAGUCGAAUUCUUUCUUCUGAGGAGGCAAGGACUGAAGUUGCUUCUGACCAGUACAGGUACGCCGCAGGACCUGGAAGAAGUCAUGCCACGGGCCAGACCUUAACAUUCCUUUCGGCUUACCCCAGGAUUUCAGACGAAGCUUCACUUUCCUAACCAGUCACAAAUCAGAGAAUUUUUGAUUCCACCUAUGACCUGUGAGCUCCUGCUUCAAGAUAUUCCACCUUUUUUAGGCCAAACCAAUGUAUAACCUCCAAGUGUCGAUUUACACUUUCGACUGUAACUUCUGCUUUCCUGAGAUUUACCCCUGCCUUUAAAAACCCUUGCUUGUAAUCCCUCAGGGAGGCCGUGUAUUUAUUAAUCAUGAGCUGCCCAAUUCUCCUUGCUUGGUGCCCUGCAAAUAAACACCCUCUUUUCUCCCACUGCAAAA
rnacentral:sRNA from 1 species